rnacentral:sRNA from 1 species
UUUUAAUCAAUUGGUCGCAGGUUCGAAUCCUGCACGACCCACCAAUCGUUCGGUGGAAACGAGAAUAAAAACGUGAAGGAUAACGUUGCGUCAGCAACGGCCUGUAGGGCGAGGCGAAGCCGAGUCAUCCUGCACACCACUA